AUUGAACGCUGGCGGCGUGCCUAACACAUGCAAGUCGAGCGGCAGCGCGGGAGCAAUCCUGGCGGCGAGCGGCGGACGGGUGAGUAACGCUUGGGAAUCUGCCUGUUAGUGGGGGACAACCCGGGGAAACUCGGGCUAAUACCGCAUACGCACUACGGUGGAAAGCCGGGGACCGCAAGGCCUGGCGCUAACAGAUGAGCCCAAGUCGGAUUAGCUAGUUGGUAGGGUAACGGCCACCAAGGCGACGACCCGUAACUGGUCUGAGAGGACGACCAGUCACACCGGAACUGAGACACGGUCCGGACUCCUACGGGAGGCAGCAGUGGGGAAUAUUGGACAAUGGGGGAAACCCUGAUCCAGCGACGCCGCGUGGGUGAAGAAGGCCUGCGGGUUGUAAAGCCCUUUCAGUGGGGAAGAAAAGCCUCGACCUAACACGUCGGGGUCUUGACGUAACCCAUAGAAGAAGCACCGGCUAACUCUGUGCCAGCAGCCGCGGUAA
rnacentral:rRNA from 1 species